rnacentral:tRNA from 1 species
GUUCUUAUAGUUGAGUUACAACGGUGGUUUUUCAAGUCAUUGGUCCUGGUUAAAAUCCUGGUAAGAAUUU